GACGAACGCUGGCGGCGUGCUUAACACAUGCAAGUCGAACGGUGAAGCGCCUUCCUUUUUGGUGGGUGUGGAUGAGUGGCGAACGGGUGAGUAACACGUGAGUAACCUGCCCCCUUCUUCUGGAUAACCGCAUGAAAGUGUGGCUAAUACGGGAUAUUCUGGGUCUGUCGCAUGAUGGGUCUGGGAAAGAUAUUGUUUCGGUGGGGGAUGGGCUCGCGGCCUAUCAGCUUGUUGGUGGGGUGAUGGCCUACCAAGGCGGUGACGGGUAGCCGGCCUGAGAGGGUGGACGGUCACACUGGGACUGAGACACGGCCCAGACUCCUACGGGAGGCAGCAGUGGGGAAUAUUGCACAAUGGGCGCAAGCCUGAUGCAGCGACGCCGCGUGAGGGAUGGAGGCUGUCGGGUUGUGAACCUCUUUCGCCAGUGAAGCAGGCCUGCCUCGUUUGUGGGUGGGUUGACGGUAGCUGGAUAAGAAGCGCCGGCUAACUACGUG
rnacentral:rRNA from 1 species